rnacentral:rRNA from 1 species
UACGGGGGGCGCAAGCGUUGUCCGGAAUUAUUGGGCGUAAAGAGCUCGUAGGCGGUUUGUCGCGUCUGCUGUGAAAACCUAAGGCUCAACCUUGGGCUUGCAGUGGGUACGGGCAGACUAGAGUGCGGUAGGGGGUGACUGGAAUUCCUGGUGUAGCGGUGGAAUGCGCAGAUAUCAGGAGGAACACCGAUGGCGAAGGCAGGUCACUGGGCCGCAACUGACGCUGAUGCACGAAAGCUAGGGGAGCAAACAGG